GUCUAUGGCUAUGCCACCCUGGAUGUGCCUGAUCUUGUCUGAUCUUGGAAGCUAAGCAGGGUCGGGUCUGGUUAGUACUUGGAUGGGAGACCAUCUAGGAACACCAGGUGCUGUAGACA
rnacentral:rRNA from 1 species